GGAGGAGUGGCUGAGUGGUUAAAGGCAUCUGUCUUGAAAACAGACGUGGGUGUAAGCCCACCGGGGGUUCGAAUCCCUCCUCCUCCG
rnacentral:tRNA from 2 species